rnacentral:rRNA from 1 species
GAUYAGAUACCGUCGUAGUCUUAACUAUAAACUAUACCGACUCGGAAUUGGAUGAAUAUAAUAUAGUUCAUUCAGCGCCGUAAGAGAAAUCAAAGUCUUUGGGUUCUUGGUGGAGUACGAUCGCAAGAUUGAAACUUAAAGGAAUUGACGGUUUUGCACCACCAUGGAGUGGAGCCUGCGGCUUAAUUUGACUCAACACUGGAAAACUCAUCAGGACAAAAAGAUUUUAGGAUUGACAGAUUGAGAGUUCUUUCUUGAUUAAUCUAAUGGUGGUGCAUGGCCGUUCUUAGUUGGUGGAGUGAUUUGUCUGGUUAAUUCCGUUAACGAACGAGACCUUAACCUACUAACUAGUGCUCCGUAACAAACGGGUGUCACUUCUUAGAGGGACAAUGUGUUGUAAACACAUGGAAGUUUAAGGCAAUAACAGGUCUGUGAUGCCCUUAGAUGUCCUGAGCCGCACGCGCGCUACACUGACACUUUCAGCAAGUAUUUACUGGUCCGACAGGAUUCUGGUUAAUCUUUUUAGUAAGUGUCGUGAUAGGGAUAGAUCUUUGCAAUUAUGGAUCUUGAACGAGGAAUUCCUAGUAAGCACAAGUCAUCAACUUGUGCUGAUUACGUCCCUGCAAAAUGUACACAUCGCCCGUCGCUUGCUCCGAUUGAGUAAUCUGGUGAGCCUUCUUGACUGAUUGCAAAAUUAGAAAAUUAAGCAAACCAUAUUACUUAGAGGAUGAAGAAGUCGUAACAAAGUUUCCGUAGGUGAACCUGCAGAAGGAUCA